rnacentral:rRNA from 1 species
UACGGAGGAGGCAAGCGUUAUCCGGAAUUACUGGGCGUAAAGAGUUGCGUAGGUGGCAUUGUGUGUCGGUAGUGAAAGCGUGUGGCUCAACCAUAUAUCCAUUAUCGAAACUGCAAAGCUAGAGGACGAGAGAGGUUAUUGGAAUUCCCAGUGUAGGAGUGAAAUCCGUAGAUAUUGGGAGGAACACCGAUGGCGUAGGCAGAUAACUGGCUCGUUUCUGACACUAAGGCACGAAAGCGUGGGUAGCAAACGGGG